CUAAAAGGGUGUGAGUAACUCGGAAGGAGUCGUGGGAUAAAAUGAUGCAGAAGGCGUCAUUCUUUAGAGAUAAAGAAACAAUAUUGUAUACUUUGAUUAACCACCAAUUACUCGGCUAACUCCAAAUAAAUAAAUCAAAAGCAUAGAGUGUGAAGCAAACUUGUGGUAGAUUGGAUUGCUUCUUCCCUUUUCUGGAGAACCGGGAGGCUAUACCGCAUAUUCUACUUGGUAUCUGGCAGUCCAAUCUAAGGGCGCAAGGAAUCUGGGAUGUCUAGGACCAGAAUUUUAUUCCAGAAAAACCUCCGAGCAGGCCAGAAAGUUUUACUCUUUAGAUGAGAGCGGGUACUUCCGAGCUCGCCAGGAUAUUGGGCGAGCUGAGUGAGACAGAGAUGCAUUUGCCAAGCAUUUAUUCAUAAAAAUAAAGUUUCUAUAUUUCAUAUGAAAAAUAAAUUGAAAAUCAACUAAAAAUUGAAUUUUUUUUAAAGAUAUCCUUAAGCUUUUCGAUAUAAUGGAUAAAAUCCUUCUCUUUAUUAAAAGCAUAGCAUAACAAAUAUUUGUUACAACUUUUUUUAAAAAAAUAAAUAUUCAACUAAAUAUAAUAUAAACUAUUUUUCAUAAUUAACUAAACAUACAAAAAUUAUUUUUUUAUAUCAUAUAUUUAUGGCCAACCACACAUACAAAAAUUAUUUUUUUAAGACAUAAAGGUGAAAUUUUUUUCAGCAGGUCCCUGAUACCCUAGAGAAAGGCUAGUAGGAACACCAAUU
rnacentral:lncRNA from 1 species